UAGGCUGCAAGCCGAACGAGAGCUCUAGCUNGCUAGAGUGGAUAGUGGCGAAAGGGUGAGUAACGCGUGAAUAAUNUGCCCCCAAGNNGGGAAUAGCCUCGGGAAACUGGGAUUAAUACCGAAUGUGGUCUUCAGUCGAUNGACUGAAAUACUAAAGAUUUAUCGCUUGGGGAUAAGNUCGCGUUCCAUUAGCUUGUUGGUAGGGUAACGGCCUACCAAGGCAACGAUGGAUAGCUGGUCUGAGAGGAUGAUCAGCCACACUGGGACUGAGACACUGCCCAGACUCCUACGGGAGGCUGCAGUCGAGAAUCUUCCGCAAUGGGCGAAAGCCUGACGGAGCAAUGCCGCGUGCAGGAUGAAGGCCCUUGGGCCGUAAACUGCUGUCACCAGGGAAGAACAUAAUGACGGUACCUGGAGAGGAAGCACCGGCUAAAUACGUGCCAGCAGCCGCGGUAAUACGUAUGGUGCAAGCGUUGUUCGGAUUUAUUGGGCGUAAAGGGUCCGCAGGGGGUCUUUUAAGUCAGAUGUGAAAUCUCACGGCUCAACCGUGAAACUGCAUUUGAAACUGAAAGACUAGAGUAC
rnacentral:rRNA from 1 species